GUGGGCGGAGCGGAGAGAGGAAGAGGUAGGGUUUGGGGAUCUAGGUAUAUUUAUUCGAUGCACGGAUCAUCUGAACCAUCCAAAAUUCGAUCUAACGGCUAAAAACGGUGUCCUCUGAUGGGCCAAAUGGUUAGAUGGGCCGAAAUCAUGCUUGUCGCAGCACACUUCACUGCUUAAGGUUUUUCUUUUUCCAUUUAAUACACUCUUUUGAAGUAACUUGCAAAAUAAAAUAUCUUGAAUAUCCAAUACACUUUUGAAAUGUAAUAGAUAACAUCUAAGUUGCCAUGUAAGAGUUUGAAGAAUUUUUUUAACAGAUUUGGUAUUUUCUAUCAUUUAAAUGAAUUUCUGUGCGAUUAUCGAAAGUAAUUUCAAGUUGAACUAUGUGUACCUCCAAUAAGAUUCAAAAAAUUACACAAAAA
rnacentral:lncRNA from 1 species